rnacentral:rRNA from 1 species
UACGGAGGGUGCGAGCGUUGUCCGGAAUCACUGGGCGUAAAGGGCGCGUAGGCGGCGCGGUAAGCGUGCGGUGAAAGCCCGGGGCUCAACCCCGGGUCGGCCGUGCGGACUGCCGGGCUCGAGCACUGUAGAGGCGGGUGGAAUUCCGGGUGUAGCGGUGGAAUGCGCAGAUAUCAGGAGGAACACCGGUGGCGAAGGCGGGUCUCUGGGCAACAACUGACGCUGAGGAGCGAAAGCGUGGGGAGCGAACAGG